rnacentral:lncRNA from 1 species
CUAGAUGGUCCAUCCUUUCGUCACAGCUCCAAACUUUGUCUCUGUAACUCCUUCCAUGGGUGUUUUGUACUUCUUAACCUUUUAAGAUGGGGUCUUUUAACGAAAGCUAAAGCUUACCAAUUGAGCUAGACUGUCUGGCCAGUGAUACUCAGGAGUCUUUCUAUCUCUGCCUCUCUAGUGCUAGAAUUACAAACACACAAACUGCAUAGAUGCUGAGACUCAAACACCAGGUCCUCAGGCUUAUGUAGCAAGCACAUUGAUGACUGAUCCAUUCUUCCCAGCUGUCUUCUCGCCUUUUAUCUUCACCUUUACUUUGUUUGGAUUCUGAAGGCAAAAUGUAUUGGAAGCCAUCAGGCUCCCAAAUGGUGACUGGUAGGACUGUUGCUAAUGGGUACACACAACAUUCAGUCUGCAUUUACAAGUUCACAUGGCAUAGAAAUGUGUCAUUUGCUUGCUUGACAAUGUCAAUCUAGAGAUGCUACAAUUUACAAGACACCCCUCCCAGUGAAUAGAUAGAAGAAAAGGGAGAAAUGUACAACUGCGGGUGAGUAUGCUAGAGUGCAGUAGGUAGUGUGAGUCCACUAAGGCUCCAUUUUGUUUAUUUCAAAGCACUGUAGAAAACACCUUGUGACUCCUUCCCCUCCCCUCUUUCUAUAAACAUCUUAAAAAUAAAAAACAAAGCCCCCAAAUGUUAAUAAAAAUCCUAAUGUCAAAUGCUAAUAUUAUCCAGAAACACAAGUGCAGGUGGCUCAUUCUUUGUAGAGGCUGUGUGUGUGUGUGAGUGUGUGUGUGUGUGUGUGUGUGUGUGUUUAAGGAGAAGAGGGGAUCAAGUAUCCAAUAUGAAUGGGGAAAGGUGAAUUUCAGUGAUAAAGUUGUCUGAUUUUGAUAAUGAAUAAUAGAAAUCUCUGGUACCAAAUGUAUAUUCUGCAAGUCAAUGGCUUGGUUCUAAAACAGAAUGUUCUAGAAUGACUUGGCACAGGCUUUGAGAAUAUAGCAAGGCUUGGGUCAGAUAACACACUGGCAACUAUUUAUCCUGGACUCCAAAUCAGACCCAGAAGGUAGAGUUGCCCCACCAGGGAGGGAACAGUGUGGGUUCUGAAGUCGAUGAGAAAGGUUUGCUAUGAGAUGAGAGUUAAAGCAGAGGGCAAAUCCUACUGAGACUUCUGAGUCCACAGUAGCAGCUCAUGUUCCCAGAAGCUCAAGAGUUGACAUGUUGACCAUGGAGAACACAUCACAGUGGAUUGUGCAGGGAAAGUGUCCAUUAUUCUUACCACAACCACAACCCAGUGUGAUCAGCUGGUGGCUGUGACUUAAAGCUCAGUAGGAUCCUGAAUGUGAUGACCAGAGGACACAGCUCCUUUAGAGACUUUUAUCCUUCUAGAGCCACAGAGUCUAGAGAUUUGGAGAUGGAAACAUAAAUUCUAGAAAAUGGGUAUCAAGGGUUUAUGGGAACUCAAGACAUUCCCAAGUCUACAUGCUAAUUUCCAGACUUAUGUAUUCAUCCAAUUAGCGAUGCUAUAUUAACAGCUCCAGAGAUGAGGUGCAGGGCAUCACUAUGGAGGAUAGUGCUUCUGAACAAGAAGAGCCGUCUCUAAGCUGGUACCCUGGUGAACCUAUAUGGAACUGUUUCGCCUUGCAGUUAGGCUGGUGGUUUCUGAGAUGUAUGUGUAGGCUGAGAGAGAUCAGAUACCAUGAUGGCAAGGUCAGGUACUGAAUCCUCUUUGCCAUGAAGUAUGAUCUUAAAGCCAGUGUGACAUUAAAUCCUACAUGAAUAGAUCAGAUUUGCCUGUGAUUUCAAGUUAAUUCUAAGUGCUAAGAACUUUUGGGCAAAAGAAAGGCAACCCAAUGUCUCAAACAGAUGUGAAUUUUACACAAAAUUAAUUGCGACCUUAUCCAGGAAGAAAGAAAUCCAACAUUGAGAUAGCUAUCUUCUGUUCCUAGCUCUUUUGGGUCUUUUUUAUCAUAAAAAAAAAUUUCUAAGGCCUUUUUUGGGUCUACUAAGAAAAGAAUGUGAUUUGUAUCCUUAAACCUACUUUAUCAAUCUAUAUCUUUAUUGAUUUGCAUACAUUGAAUCAUAUCCUACAUCCAUAAAUGAACAUAACUUGUUUAUGAUGUAUAAUCCUCUCAGUGUGGUCAGAGAAAUUGGAUUUGUCUAUUUUUCACACUUGAGUGUGUGCCUUGUAUGCAUGUGCUUGCAUGUUCAUACAUGCCCCAACAUGAGUGAAGAUGUUGAAGUGAGAUCAAAGGAUGACUUACAAUAGUUGGCUUCAACCUGCUACUAUAUGGGCCUAAAUCUAGUGGCUUCAGGGAACCCCCUUUGUUUGUGUCCUUUGUUAUAUCCAAGAUCUUCCACUGGGACCUCAGAAAUACCCCACUAGCACUCAAACCCUCAAUGAGUACAUAACCAGAAUAGGGAACAGCAACCCUAGUGAUGACUUACAGGGGUCAGAGUCUCUGCCCUUGUCUGUGUGGGAGGCAAAAGUCAAAAGGGUCUAGGAAAGAGUGAGUAAUCGCCGUCCUGAGUGUCAGGUAACACACCAUUCACGGUUAGCAAGAUGAGUGGCAGGCAAGGCACCAUUCACAAACAGUGAAACAGAGUCUGAAUGGCUCAAACCUUUUCUCCAGACCUCCAUAUUAAAAUUUGAUUGUCACUGGGAUAGUUUCGGGAAAUGGAGCCUUUAAAAGGUAUUUGGGCCAUGAGGUUUCCCCUAAUAAAUAUAUUAACGUUGUAACCACAGGAGUGAAUUCAUUCCUUUCAUGCUAAAUUGCUUGCUUUUUCCUACUUUGGCCCUCUUUUCACCCCUCUCCCUCUCUCUCACCUUUUUUUCUUUGCCCUUUUUAUUCCUCUCUCCUGCUCUGGCUUUCUCCCUAUCCUUAUCUCUCUCCCUCAGCACAUGACACCCUGUACUAACCUCAUCAUGAGAAAGAACAUAAGUCCUAACAAAGAUGCCAGCAUUUGAUCUUGGUGUUCCCAGCCUCCAUAGCUGUGAAUUAAUAAAUUCCUUAUUAGAAGGACUCCCAGGUCCUUCUAAGACAAAGACUACGAAUGCAUCCUGAGCCAAGCACAUGUGUGAAGCGAUGGGUAGUACAUGGAUGAUGCUCAGGGCUCUGUGACUGACAGCCUAUCUGACUUCACCCCUACAGGCAAAGCUCAUCAAUGGCCUGCUUCUCUUCAGAUUUCUGUGGCUCCUCAGUAGUGACACUGCCCUACCCACAGCCACCCAUGCACCAGUCUUAGUGGCCAUUUGGGGGCUCUCUUUCCUGUCAGCCUUCUCAUGCAAGAAGGUACCAAACCCUUCUGAUGAUUGUGACUACAUACUUUCCAAAUCGUUCUUGGCCUCCCUUCUGCCUAUCACUGCCAUAACUGGGUAACACCAGAACCACAGGGAAGAAAGCAGGAAGGUCAGUUUCAUGAUAGGAAAAAUAGGGAAAGGUUUGUUGGAAGCCAAAACCAACAGAUGCCCGCCCGCAGCACUAAUAAUAGUCAAGGUACCAAGCUUUUCUCAUAAUUUCUCAUAAAUGUUACUUUUCUCAUAAAUUAUAGAACAUUAAAGCUUACCCCUAACAUAAUGUCACUCGCAUACUAAUACAUGACACAAAGUUGGAGAAGUAAGAGGGAAUAAAGGUAAGUAGCUAGAAAUGGCAUCUGGGCAUGGUGCUGAGCCAGUACUCAUGUAGCCCACCUUUGUAUUGGGUACUGGGUGUUGGGAGGAGCCUGAUACCUGCACAUCAACUGCUCUGUGUCACCUCAAAGCAAGAAAAAAUUCCCCAAAGCAGGUCAAGCUCUG